GUUAGAGGGAGCCCUGCUGCAGUAGAAGGAAGCACAGCUGGCCCUCAAAGUGUGACUGGUGUCCCAAGCAGGAGGCUGACCCAGGGACAGGAAGAGGAAGUGGGAUUGCUCUGGAGAAGCCAUAGAAGAACCAAAUCAGCACAUCAGACAAGCUCCCUGGUUCUGGAUGCAUGUGAUCAAAAUCCUCAAUGACAAGAUGUAAUUAACCCCAGACAAAAGGAAGAAUUGGGCAUCAGAACACGGGUCCCCAGCAACCGCAAGGGCAGGUAGCCAGGGUGCCUUUGCCUCUCCAAGUCACUGCUGGGGAAUGAGGGAGAUGCACCCCGGGGCUCUGGGUGGUGCGGUGUCCCUGAGAGCGACAGUCACACCCUGGGUGUGGUUUGUGCCUAAAAGCAGCAGACACAGAGGCAGGGGGACUCAAGAACUCAGGGGACCUCCACUUCCCCUUCUUGAAAAGUCUGCUUGAGGGAGAAACACAUUGAGUUUGCAGAUGUCUCCAAAUGAAGAAUCCGGCAGGGAAGAAGCUGUGAUCAAGAACGGGAGCUGAACGUUUAACCCAUUUAGACUCAAAAUGAAUGGGAUGUACAGGUCUGAAGGAGAAAGCUCCCGCAGUGUCAGGUACGUUGCUGCCCACCGACUGUAAAGACACCGCCUAAACUCAGAAAUAAAGUAGUUCCAAUGAAAGUGGGGGACAGCAGACACAGACAGAGUAAAACAGUGGAAAAUCAGAGGGCCCUGACAUCAUGGUGAAGGAUUCGGCCAGCUGUGGACUCAGACAGCUGAAGGAGGAUGGAAACAGACAGGAAGUCCAGGCUGUGCUGUGCCCAGCCCAGAGGCCUCCGGCUUCCCUACACAGGAUUCCAGUCCCAGGGACACCGGGGAGCCACGGGAGUCCAGAAGACCUCUGGGUGCUUCCCCCUGCCCUGCAUUUCUCUGUCCUCUCUCCCAUGCCUCUGGAUAAUGGAAAUGGUUCUUAAUAAAUUCCCACUUCUCACAAGCUUUACAGUAAAGAUGAUCCUCCUGGGAGAUGAUCCUGGGACAGGCUCGGGGCUGGCUGCAGGGCAGAGGGGCCAGGCCUGCAUGUGACACUGACCCUCCCUGGUUUCCAUGGUCACUGUCCCUGAGGUGCUGUCUUCAUCCUGCCUGGAAGUCUCCAGUAGCAUAAGGAAGCACAAGGAAGACAGGGAAGUGGCAUGGGUGUGGUCCCCAGAGUCACUUGGGCAUCUCUUGACUACACAGCUGAGUUUCCUGGUGGUCUCAUGCAAAGAGUUGAGUCUUUCAAAAAUGGUGACGUUUUCUGCUUUUUAAAGCAAUUAGGGAAGCAGCCUGACACAGGUAUGAACCCCUCAGGCAGCUUGAGUUUUCAGGGGGUGCUGAGCAGUGAGCCAGAUAUUCUGGGGAUCAGAGGAGGACGGAUGACAGGGAGAGCAGCCUACGGAGAUGGAGAAGGUGGCAGAACGGGGGUCUUCCCCAAGGCAGGUCCCAGGUCUGGAUGCCAUGUUCCCAUUUUAGGCAGGGACUUGGGGGCACAAGAAGCCCAUCAGGGUGCUUCCUUGGGGUUCCCAUGGAGCCUGGGGAUGUCCAGGAAGUACCCCCCUCGGUGGCCAGCCACCCCGCGCAGUCUUUACUAUGAAGUGACUCUGCCUGCUGGUCAUCACGGCCAGGGUGGUCUUGGAGUCUGACCGGUCCUCUAGGUUGUCCUUCACCUGAGAGCAGCACCAAGGGAAGCUGGAAAGAGCUGAGAUGGGG
rnacentral:lncRNA from 1 species